rnacentral:rRNA from 1 species
UACGUAGGCAGCAAGCGUUGUUCGGAAUUACUGGGCGUAAAGAGUGUGUAGGCGGUUUUCUAAGUUUGGUGUGAAAUCUCCCGGCUUAACUGGGAGGGUGCGCCGAAAACUGGAAGGCUUGAGUGCCGGAGAGGAUAGCGGAAUUCCCGGUGUAGCGGUGAAAUGCGUAGAUAUCGUAAGGAAGACCAGUGGCGAAGGCGGGUCUCUGGACAGUUCCGUGACGCAUGAGACGGCGAAAGCGUGGGGAGCGAACAGG